rnacentral:piRNA from 1 species
UACCUAGAGGGCAGAGAGAGGUAA